rnacentral:lncRNA from 1 species
UUAUUAGGAUUCUUACGUGAUCGAAGCGGGUUCUACUUCGAAAAUGCUAACAACGAAGGAUCACUUCAAAGCUGCCGGUGUCCAUGUUUCUGUUAAACGGCAGUAGGUUUCUGGAACAAUCUCUGCCACAUGUCGCCCACGUACUUAGUCAUGUCGUCUUCAUGCUACGACCGAUCAGAUCGACUUUAUAUGCCCCNNNNN